UCGUUUACACUGGCUGCUCGUUAGCAUCGACGGUUUAAUUUAUGCUGACUGGAUGGAAAACGCACACUCUGGGGGGGAAAGUGUUAUAAAUGAGCUAAACGAGGCCAUCGUAUAGACCAGAAUUCUUUCAAGGCUUGGACGUCACGACGGAGACAUCCUGUACCGAGUAAAUAGAAAGAUGGCUGAGUGGUGACCAUUAGCAAGGAAUAGCAGUGCUCGACGUAGUUUUAAACAAAUCGCAGUAGACAACGUGACCAGUAUUCAAAUGAAGCCCACGAACGUUAGGUACGACGAUUGACGCUCGUACAAGGUUAUGGUCGAGCAUUUUUGGAAGAUCGUUGACCUAACUAAUCUUGGAGUACUUUUCUUUUCAUGAAAAAAGUGACUCGGUAGCACGGAGUGUUCAUGAUAAUUAGUAAAAGCUGUUUAUCUUCUCUGUGAUUUCUAUUUGCCAGCAAUUGAAGAAAAAUCUCGUUACACUUUCUAAACCAUUCGACGUUUCGCUACGGAUGGUACCCUGACCGAUUAGCCUUGCUCCUUGAUUAUUUAUCUUGGCAGCAUUCAGCGAUUACCUAACGUGUCUGAAUAAAUCGUAUCCUGAUUGAGUAGUUUAUAAAAAUAUUAGAACGUGGUAAAUGUAUUCCACAUUCUUUCUUUCGCUUAUUUAUUUGCAACAAGCUCGACUUCCUAGUAAUUUUGUUUUAUUGUAGGAGCAUUAAUAAUUCAUUGCUACGGCUGGCAUUGUAUUAGGCGCGGCUAGAAGACGU